rnacentral:lncRNA from 1 species
UGGCUAUUUAGUCAAACAAACCUAGAUGUUUCCAAUGUCUGGGAUGAUCCAUAGUCACGUCAUAUGUUCCACAUGUCAUCAAGCAGUGAGAUGUUUCAGGAUAACUAUCUGUCUCUGAGUUGAUUAACUUGCAUGUGUAUUUAGGAAUUUCCUGUUUCUGGGUAAAUUGCAAGCAGUGAGAUGUUUCAAGCACAAAACUAAGGGGGUUAGGUUUCUUUUGAAAGGAGACUAUGGCAAAGUUAUGGCAUCUUUCUCACUUUGUUAUGCGCUGACAAGUUGCAUCUGACUUCCAGUGAUACUAAAAGGGUUUUCAAAGUAGGUGAGAUAUUUAAGGAGUGGUUUUACCAGUGAUACCCACCCCUCAGUGAGUUUCCUUAGCCAAGUAGGCAUUCAAACCCAGGUCACCUGAAACUUUAUAUUUUACACCAGGCUUGUCCAAUGUAUGUGCGGCCCAAACCAAAUGUAUGUGCGGCCCAAACCAAAUGUAUGUGCGGCCCAAACCAAAUUUUCAUCUUCUAAUGUGGCCCAGGGAAGGUGAAAGGUUGGACACCCCUGUUUUACACCAUUCGGCUCUCAAUCAUUUAAAAUAACAAAAAUAGAUCACAUCUGGCUUACUUGAAAGGAGAGAAGUAUCCAUGAAAACAAACAAACAUUCCUUCAAUGACCCGCAUCAACAUUAAUCUUGUACAUAAGAGUCUUAGACUGGCCGUUUGUUGUAGAUCCCAACCCCAUCCCCUGCUGGAGACUUCAUCCCGAUUUAGUUCUCUCCAGUGCUAUUUCAGUUUUGUCCAAAUUAAGACUCCUGCUGCUUCUGUCACUUGCACACAGAGAUAUCACAGGCACUGUUCCAAAUACAAAUCUUAUCUUUUGAUUAGGGAUAGACCCAAACAUUCUCAACUGUUAAGAUCUCAAGUAUAGCAAAACCGUUCAAUGGUUUUCAGGGAGUGUAUAUUUCACAGUAUGAGUGGCAUUGACUGAGAUGUGGCUCUGAGACUAGAAAUUAUAGGCCUUGGUUCUUUACUAAGAAAUCUCUCAUCUAUCAUCUACAUAGUGCUAAAGUACUACAUUAUGGCAGCAGUUUCGAACCCAGCUGUUCUUGGACUGCAAUUCCCAGAGGCCUUCACCAACAGCUGUGCUGGCUGGGGUUUCUGGGAGUUGCAAUCCAAGAACACCUGGGUUGCCCAAGGUUGGGAACCACUGUUUUAUGGCAUGAUGGGACUGCCUUUUGGAUAA